CAAGACCAUUCCUGCCCUUGCUCUUGCUGGUCCUUCCUCUUAGAACACUCUUGAUGUCCACACGGCUCCCUCGCCUCCUCCAGAUCUUUGAUCAAACGUCAUCUCCUCAGUGAGGCUUUCCCUGACCUCCCCUUCUCACCACCUGAGCCCUGGGCAGGCUCAGUCUGUCUGCAUGUGACACGUUCCCCCCACCACCUGUGAGCCCCCAGGAGCAGGCCAGAAUGCCAGGGUUUGAAUCCUAGCUCUGCCACUUACCAGCUGUGUGACUUGGGACAAGAGACGUCCGUUAGCCAUUACUCGAAUCGUUAUGAUGUGCUGUGGACCAAGGCUUCCUGGCCAGUGGUCCGAAGACCUGGGCUGUGAUCCACCUCUGCCGCUACUCUCCACGUGGCCUUGGCUGCUCAGCCCCUGUGCCCUGCCCGAGAACAACAAGGGGCAGGGCCGCCAAAUCCUCCAGGGAGGGAGGAGCCACCACAAGGGCCCUGAGCGUGGGCGAGCCAUCAUCCAGUUCCACACCACGCUACGAUUCUGCAGACUAUCCCAGAAGCAAGGACAACCACUGAAUAAAUUCUCCAUUUGCAGCAAGUCACGCUGGCCACAGCGAGGAGGACAACAGACUGGAAACGGGCAAGAGUGAUAAUAAAUUGGGAGAAAAAUUGGGAGGGCGUUUCAAUUUUCCAAGCGCAAAACAGGACAGUCCUUUAGACGAGGGUGAUGGCAGUGGAAGUGGGGAGACACCAACAGGUUUAAAAGAUGGGAGGAUUGACUGAGGGGCCUGGGUGGCUAUGUGGCCCCAGGGUGGGGAAGGAAGGGAGCAGGCUUGGCUUCUCCUGUCUCACCAGCCGCGGGCUCUGGUCUUUGGGGAAGGCCGGUGAGCCUAUUCUCUGUUUGUUCUGGGGCUCCCUGUGUUCUCCCAAUAAAUCUCCCAUCUUGUUCAAAAGAAGAGCAUGAGCUGAAUAAAGGAGGGAACCC
rnacentral:lncRNA from 1 species